rnacentral:rRNA from 1 species
GACGGAGGGCACCACCAGAUGUGGAGCCUGCGGCUCAAUUUGACUCAACACGGGAAAACUUACCAGGUCCAGACAUAGUAAGGAUUGACAGAUUGAAGUUCUUUCUUGAUUCUAUGCAUGGUGGUGCAUGGCCGUUCUUAGUUGGUGGAGUGAUUUGUCUGGUUAAUUCCGAUAACGAACGAGACCUCAGCCAUCUAAAUAGCUCUCGCUAACUCGUUAGUGCUUACUUUGUAAGUUGAGCUUCUUAGAGGGACAAUCUGUGCUCAGCAGAUGGAAGAUUGAGGCAAUAACAGGUCAGUAUGCCCUUAGAUGCUCUGGGCUGCACGCGCGCUACAAUGAUGCAUUCAGCGAGUUUAACCUGGCUUGAAAAAGUUGGGUAAUCUUUAAAGUGCAUCCAAGUUGGGAUAGAUGAUUGCAAUUAUUCAUCUUGAACUAGGAAUAUCUAGUAAACGCAAGUCAUCAACUUGCAUUGAAUACGUCCCUGCCCUUUGUACACACCGCCCGUCGCUUCUACCGAUUGAAUAAUCCGGUGAACUGAGUGGAUAGAAGGGUCUUAAACUACUCGUCUAAAAGCUUCGUGAACCUUAUUAUUUA